CAAAUACUACACCAUUGGCUAUAGGAUACACUGACUCAAAUGCUUAAUAAACUCAAAAUUGCCAUACUGCCAUACUAAGCUCUCUCUCUAUCUCAUUCUGGACUUGUGACUGCUUCACUCAAGGAUUCACUGUCCCUAGACCGACUUCACGGUAGACUGACAGUUUGGUCCCCAAAAAUCACAUGGGUUAUAUUUAUGUGUAACAUUCAUACCAGUACUGUCCCUUGUACACCAACACAGUACGCUGAACUGUUUUACUGGCCUGGGUCACAUUUGUCAAGUUAUAGCACACAGUUAACCCUAUCGCAUCUUUCAGAAAUAACCAUUUCUUCAACCAAGCCCAAACUUCUCGCUGGAUGGCAGAGUAUGAGCUGGGUUAAAACUUGGAACAACAUCUAGAUGACAGGAUGGUUGCCUGGUUGCUGGUCUUAAUGGUCCUGGGUUCAAACUCUGCCUGUCAUCAUCUCCUUGGCUUGGAUAAAAUACAUUUAAUAUUCAAAUCUGAAGGAAUAUCAGAAACAUGUAAAAUACACAGUCAGCCUGAUCGAUUACCAUAUGAACAGGCAGGCAUCCAUCUGUAUUUCUAGUACUCAAUUCGAUAUAAUAUAUCAAAAACUAACCCUAUAGCACUAUUUUCGGCUAUAUUUUAGAUUCUGUAGAACAGAAUAUUACAUAUUACACAGCACUAUAUCUAGGCUACAAAGCACAUAUUCCAAAGCACAAUAAUUAAACUCAGGAACAUUUAAUAAAUGAGUUGCCUAUCUCUUUAAAUAAGUCUCUAGUGUCUCAAAUUAAUGUGAUCUCUAAUAACACAGCAAAAUCUAAUCUGUCCUUUUUUAAACUAUCACUCAAGAGGAUGUUACAUAUGAUGUCAUCUGUAUUUUGUUGAUGUUGCAGUUCCUUUAUCACUGCAUCUCUUUGUGUCAAUUUUCAGAUUCAUUUAGUUUUAUUUUGUGUACGAUUGCUGAUGCAGAGCUAUAGCGAGUAUCACAAAUUUGUUUGACUAUUUGCUUCAGAACAAGUUUAUUAGAAGAGUCCACUUUCUUCUAGACACAUUACAUAAGCAACAAUGUUUUCAUUAGCUUUUUCACGUUUGACAUUAAGAACUCUAGCAAUUGUUAUUAUUAUUCAUAUUGUCUGAUUUAGAUCAAUAAUAUGUCUAAUCUGGGUCUGUCGAGUUUGUGUUGAUCAGAAGAUUGAUUGUUUCUGUACACAUAAUAUUACUCUUAUUAACAGACUUACAGAUCUUGACAUAUGUUGGGAAGCAUGAUCCAGAGGCUAAGUACGUUUGUGUUGGCUACCUAUUAAGUGGGCUCGAGGUUCGACACCCAACUUGAGCAAAGCACCUAAAGGCAUCACGGAAAACCUUCUCCCAGAUACCCCCCACCCCCUCCACUGGUCAAUAAAUGAGAUUGGAACAUAGCGCUCUGAGCAUGCUAUAAGCAUGAAAGUAGCACUAUAUAAAAGCUAUUAUUAUUAUUAUUAAUUAUAAUAUGUAUAUUCCAAAGAACAAUAAUAAAUAAAUCUCGGUGUGUGUUUGUCUAUGUGCUAUGUAGCCUAGACUAGAUAUAGUGCUGUGUAAAAUGUAAUAUAGCUUAAAAAUUUAUAUUGUUUUUAUCAGAAUCUAAAAUAUAGCCUCUAGAAAUUGUGCUGUAGAGUUAGUUUUUGACAGAGUGUGAGUUAAAUUGAAUAAAUAAUUAGUUAUAAUUAAGUGACCAUGUAUUCUCUGACCCAGUUUCUUGAGUUAAUAGCUUGCCUUAUUUUCUUUGUCAGUAAUAAACAUAAAUAUACAUAGGUUUACAUGAGUUAACUUAAGUUUUCUUUUUGAUUUCCUUCCUUCAAGUAUCUGCACUAUUCAACACAUUCAGAGAGGAAGCAGCAGCUCAAACUUCAAUAUUUAUGAGUCUUUCAAUUUUGCUGUUGUCACGUUCUCCACUGUUGGCUAUGAAGAUGUUUCCUCUGACAUUUGGCUGGGCCGACUCUUAAUGAUUCUAACCAUUGCCCUGGCAUUUGUUUUUAUACCUAGCCAGAAUAGAGAUGUAAUUCUGCUGUGUCCCCGUGAGUUGGAAACCAGUAAGCAAGUCUUCUAAUAGAGGUCUGAUAGAGUCAUGUACAUCAAGGGAUCAGCACUAAAAGAUGUGGACCUGAUGUGGUGUCAAGCUGAUGAAGCUUUUGCUUGCUUCUUUUGGCUGUUCAUUUAACAAGACAAAGCACAUACUGAUCGUCAUACCAUUUUAAGAUCCUGGGAUGUGAAAGACUUUACACCAGACUGUCAUCAGUAUCUUUACCUCUUCCAUGCCGGCAAUAAAAUACAUCUGAAACUUGUUGGUGAGCCAUGGCAGCAGUCGUAUAGAAGGCAUGCUGGGAAUGAAAUUCAUCACAUACAGCUGCAAAAAAGUGUUUUCAUUGGUAAUUAUGUGGGCUACACUUACCCACAAGCCUCAGCUGAUGCUCACCAAAGGUCAGUGUAUGCAAGUAUAGUUUUGUUCAUUGAUACAAUAGAUAAGCAGUUUUUAUGAUUGCUUUAUUAUAUUAAGCAGAUCCCUUUAAAAAGAGUUACUUCAAAUGUAUUGGCCCAUCAGUCAUGUGAAUAAAAUUGUUUUCAUAGCCAAUUGACAUAAUUAUUUAAAAAAAAAAGUUCCCCUUUCAGACCAUGGGGCUGAUGAUGUAAAAUUCAUCUGUUUCUCUAGCCCAUGGUUAAAUAGGGUGUCAUGAGGCCAGCACAACAACCAACCUCUAAACCCAAAGAUCCCAAAAUUAGAAAUUCGAGUCUUUCACAGGAUUUGAACCCGGGACCCCUGGUUCAGAUAGCUAAGUGCUUUACCACUCAGCUACUUCUACUUCUUAAUAUUACUAGCUCAACGCAUUUGGAUCUACUAGUGGACCUCUUUUAAUAAUUCAUUUCACAGAACACUUUUUCAUUAAUGUGGCUGUAGAGAGAUGUUCCUUUCCACAUGUGUCCCAGGUUAAGGUGACAUUAGGCAUGCUUUUUUUUUCCAGAACUGAGGCAAAUCUUUUUCGCUGUCCAUACCUUUCUUGGUCACCAUCUCUUUACAUAGUGUGGUGUAGGGCCUUGUGUUUCCUGUUGUCAACAUCAUUGUCCACUGCUUUGAGGUCCUGUUUGAUUACAUCAACAUGUCAAAGGGUGGGGACCAUCAGUUCAUCUUGAACCUGUCAAUGUUGAGUCAGAUAUUGAAGCCAGAGCUUUGUAUCUAAGUCAAAGACCACUAGUAUUUGACAGUGUUUACAGAGGACAAGAUGUUCCAGCUCAGUCCAAAAUUCAUAAAAACUGUGUCUCAGCGAAGCAUAAGAGUUGGUCUUGGAUUCAAACAGUCAAUGAAUAUUUAGGCAUUCAUAGUGAAAAUACUGCUAACUAUCAUCAGUUCGACCAUGAUGUUUGCCACCUGGAAGAAGACAUGCUUUCAUUCUUGCUUUGGAUGGACAGUUCAACAGUUAGAGCUCAAGUCAAGACUCAAGAUCCUGAUGUCAUGUUAAAACAUUUCAGAUUAAUAAACAAUUGUUGGACUAUCAGGGCUAGUUAGAUCUUCUCACAGAGCGAAGUUGAGAUAUUCACCCAGUUCAUCACCGCCAAGAACUGCCAGAAUGGCAUUUGAAGGCUAGAGCUCUUGUCCAAUAUCAGCACAAACAUGUGUCAUUAGCAAAAGGGGACUUUGUCAAGAUUUUGGAAAAUUCUGAUGCUGAAAGAUGGAAGAUGGAAUAGAAAGUGAAGUUCCUGCUAUUGUGUUGGUCAUUCCUUCCUGCUUCCAGCAGAUUGAUAAAUUAAGAGAACAAAUCAAGGUCAAUAGUUCUAUUGCUGCUAAAAGAUUAAGGUCACAUUUGAUCCAGUUUUUAAGUGCUGCUAUUUCCCAGACACAGUCCAAAGAUUUAUGUUUUUCCUGCUGAAGAUGGUGAAUGAGGCAGCAGACAUCUUGAAAGGAGCUGAUUUCAAGUUCCUUCAACAGUCUUUUCAUUUUAUUUAGGAAAAAGCUCAUCAGUCACUUCAAACCAGGUGAUGAUGGAGUCAUAAACAGUAGGAUACAGAGGUGAAACAAAACUGGAGCUUUAGUUUGUUUGUUUGUAGAACUUGGCAUCUACUCCAGACAUUAUUCUGAAGAACACUCAAGUAAAAGAAAAGAAGAAAUGUUAAAGGUUAAGGACUUGGGCUCCAAUCAUAAUUUCACUUCAAAAGCUUUAAUUUGAAAGGUCUUAUAUUUUUGUGGAAAUAAAUUUUACUAGUGGAGUUUUUGUAGCUGCCAGAGUGGAUCAAGGUGGAUGUGAUAUCUAUUUAUAAACAUGUAUACCAGUAUAUUGUAAUCAGUGAUUUUCAUUUUCUGGUAACAGUUUGUUUCCAUUUAGAUUGCAGUCUUUCUUAUGUGAAAACAAGAUGUCUGCAUAAUCUUAGAGUACAUUUUUAAACUCAUUUAAAUUUAUUAGAUGAAAUAUUUAUAAAACAUACAAUGUAAAUUGUUUUGUAAAAUGAUUAUACAUUUGAGUUCAUAAAAAUGUGUAAUUUUUUAAUGGCAUCAUGUUUCUGCUUAUCUGUAUCUGAUACUGAUGAUUGUUUUCUAAAUCUAUUACUGCUUCACCAUUGAGGAAAAACUGCACAUGUUUAAAUCCAUAUCUGAAGUAACUUUCCAGAAAAAAAAAGAUGUAUGUAUGUAAGACAGUGUCCAAAAUUUCAAAUCAUUUCCUUCAAAAUGUUAUCAAUUUCCUCCAUAACUUCAUAACAUUAUUGAAUUUUUUCCUUCAGAACACAAUUGUAAAUUAUCUUUUUUUUUUUAUAAUUUUUGUUAAACCACAAAGAUACUCUAAUAAAGUGAGACUCUUUCACUGAUCUUAUUAAUAUUCAGAUAAAUCAAUUGAGAGUCUAAUAAGUAAUAGUCUAGCAAACAAUUACUUAUAAUUUGCCGUAUUAUUAUACAAUAUUAAGAUUUACUUCUGCAGGGAUGAAAAACUUUUUUAAAAAAUACAAUAGACAUGUAUAAUAAUAUAAAUAAUAAUAAUAAUCUUUAUUGUCGUAUAACUAUAAAAAACCAAAAGUACAUUCACACCUGACUCACUCAUAAUUUACAUGUGAAAAGUUUAUAUCAGAUUGUUUCUAUUUAAUGAUUUGAUUGCCAUCAGUGUCUUGUAUCUCUUUUGUGAUGGUAAAGUCACAAAAUGUAGGAAACCCCACUGUGUUUGGUCCAGUAUGUGGGUUAUUAUAUGUAAGUCUAUUGUAUUUUCUAUAUUAUUUUACAAAUGUAAAAAAAAUAAAAAGAAAUUGUUACACUGUU